GAUGAACGCUGGCGGCGUGCCUAAUACAUGCAAGUCGAGCGAACAGACGAGGAGCUUGCUCCUCUGACGUUAGCGGCGGACGGGUGAGUAACACGUGGAUAACCUACCUAUAAGACUGGGAUAACUUCGGGAAACCGGAGCUAAUACCGGAUAAUAUAUUGAACCGCAUGGUUCAAUAGUGAAAGACGGUUUUGCUGUCACUUAUAGAUGGAUCCGCGCCGCAUUAGCUAGUUGGUAAGGUAACGGCUUACCAAGGCAACGAUGCGUAGCCGACCUGAGAGGAUGAUCGGUCACACUGGAACUGAGACACGGUCCAGACUCCUACGGGAGGCAGCAGUAGGGAAUAUUGGACAAUGGGCGAAAGCCUGAUCCAGCAAUGCCGCGUGAGUGAAGAAGGUCUUCGGAUUGUAAAACGCUGUAAGUAGGGAAGAAGAGAAGUAAGAUGAUACAUUGCUGUCUUGACGUUACCGAAAGAGUAAGCAACGGCUAACUUCGUG
rnacentral:rRNA from 1 species